UGGCUCAGAACGAACGCUGGCGGCGUGCUUAACACAUGCAAGUCGCGUGCGCGGUUCCGUAGCAAUACGGGAUGGGCGCACGGCGCACGGGUGCGUAACACGUGGGCAAUCUGCCCUCCGAUGGGGAAUAACCCCGCGAAAGCGGGGCUAAUACCGCAUAACAUUCCUUGGACUAUGGUUUGAGGACUCAAAGCAGCAAUGCGUCGGAGGAGGAGCCCGCGCCCGAUUAGCUAGUUGGUGAGGUAACGGCUCACCAAGGCAAUGAUCGGUAGCUGGUCUGAGAGGAUGGCCAGCCACACUGGAACUGAGACACGGUCCAGGGUCCUACGGGAGGCAGCAGU
rnacentral:rRNA from 1 species